CACACGUAGGGUCGAGUGGUCAACAAUGAACCAGCAGUACAGAGUGAACCAUGUAAAUAAUUCAGAAAUGUGACGUUGCCAUUUGGUGCAAACUGCAUUAGGUAAGCGCCUUUGAGGCCCCUCCCGCCUUCCCCAGUCGACAGUGAGCUAGCGGCGCGGGAGGCCGUGCGAGCCCAUGUUUGGUGUUUUCGUGCCGAAAAUUGUAUAAAAAUAACAUGGGCCGAACAAAAUAAGAUAGCUCUGCUAGGAAAAAAGGAUCCCACCUACCUGAAGCAAUGAAGGCUGCUGUCGAUUUACAUCUCAACGGUAUGAGCUUAAGAAAGGCUGCAAGAGAUAGCAACAUACCAUAUCCAACACUGAGAAGAUAUGUGAUAAAAUUCAAGACAGACAAGUCUGCUUCGAUGGAACCAAAUUAUAGCGUAAAUAAAUAUUCACGGAGGAACAAGAAACAAGUCUAAAGUCUUAAAAAGCAUAGUAAAGCAAAGUAUAGCAUAGUAUUGCACGAGCCAUAUCAUCUAAUCCAACGAAUUUCAAAUCAUUUUUUGACAAUCUUUAAGAAGUUUAUGGAAGAUUUCCUCAAUUUGGUGACGGCACAAGGCACGAGGGUUCAUAAUCUUGAUGAAACUAUGUUUAUGAUUUUUCCGCAAACUCUUUUAGAAAAGAAGCUAUUUGAUUGUUACUACAAAUAAAUAGGUACUUUAAAUAAAUUUGAAAGUUUUAUUUAACAUUUUUUUAUAAUUAUAUCAAUAUAAUGUUUUAAUUAUUGACAUGGUUCAUUGUUUGCACACACGAUUCACUGUGUACCAACCCCCGGUUCAUUGAGUACCAUUGAGUGUACACAGUGAAUCAUUUCUCAAAAAAUAAAAAAAAAUAAAAACAUCAG